CACGACUCACGGCUGACAGAAACUUCAUCUUUAAAUUCCUAAUCCUCUCAAGAAUACUCUGGCACCUAUGCUGAAGCUUAUUCCCCAUCCAGCCAUCCCGUCACAACCUCGUUUUGAUCUAUCCCUUCUCUAGAAUACCCUAGUCCACAAUUUCAUUGCUCCACUUUUCCUAUGCAUUUCAAUGAUUUCGUUGUUAUCAAGAACAAAAG
rnacentral:lncRNA from 1 species